UUGGGAAUAUUGGACAAUGGAGGAAACUCUGAUCCAGUGACGCCGCGUGAAGGAAGAAGGUCUUCGGAUUGUAAACUUAUUUUAUCAGGGAAGAAAAAAAUGACUGUACCUGAAGAAGAAGCACCGGCAAACUACGUGCCAGCAGCCGCGGUAAUACGUAGGGUGCAAGCGUUAUCCGGAUUUACUGGGUGUAAAGGGCGAGUAGACGGCCUGGCAAGUCAGAUGUGAAAACUUGGAGCUCAACUCCAAGACUGCAUCUGAAACUGUUAGGCUAGAGUGCAGGAGAGGAAAGUGGAAUUCCUAGUGUAGCGGUGAAAUGCGUAGAUAUUAGGAGGAACACCAGUGGCGAAGGCGACUUUCUGGACUGUAACUGACGUUGAGGCGCGAAAGUGUGGGGAGCAAACA
rnacentral:rRNA from 1 species